rnacentral:rRNA from 1 species
UACGGGGGGGGCAAGCGUUGUUCGGAAUUACUGGGCGUAAAGGGCUCGUAGGCGGCCAACUAAGUCAGACGUGAAAUCCCUCGGCUUAACCGGGGAACUGCGUCUGAUACUGGAUGGCUUGAAUCCGGGAGAGGGAUGCGGAAUUCCAGGUGUAGCGGUGAAAUGCGUAGAUAUCUGGAGGAACACCGGUGGCGAAGGCGGCGUUCUGGACUGCAACUGACACUGAGAAACGAAAGCCAGGGUAGCAAACGGG